GGUGAUGCUAAUCUAUAUCUUUUUCAUCCUGUACCCAUCUCAUCUCUGCAAGGUUGGCUCGACGUAGAUUCGGAUUAUCGCCUCGUGGCUCAGUAGCAAGAGAGAAUGUUAAAAAAGAGAGAGAGUAUGUGGUUAUUAUGAUUUAACCUAAGAACAAAUGGCUCGAGCAUUGCCCAUAUAUGUCGUGAGACUUGGCAGGUGAGGCUUGCUUGGCCCC
rnacentral:lncRNA from 1 species